UCCGACUCUUGUGACAUGUUUGAUCCAAUGAACUCGCUCCCCUUUUCCUGGAGCCUCAGCCUCUGGUGAAACUGGACUUUCAAGUCUGUGCAGGUGAAGGUGUGUGAGAGCGCCCGAGAUGGCAGAACAAGAGCUACAGGGUACAAGCCCGAGGGACGAGCUGCGCGGUGAUUGGCUGCGGGGAGGCCUCAGGUGAGCUGCCAUUGGCAGAGGCGCGCUCAGGUAAGGCCCUUCUCCAAGUGCAGGUAACUCACUCCGAAGUUUACCCGAGUGGAGCGGCGGCACGUUCGCGGCGCGGAGGCAGCCCGUGGGAGCCGAGGGGAUUAUGGGUCGAACGGAAGGACUAAGGAGAGCUGAACUCGGGAUCCCCAGCCAACCGGAAUCCGAGGCGCAGCGCAACCACCGGGCUUUUUCGUGCCCACCAUGGAGAGGACUGUUCGACGGUUUCCGAAGAGUUUGAAGUUUACUUUGUGCUCAGAGGAGGGGAAAACACAACGAUUGCCGGGUUUGUUGCGUGAUUUCAUUUGUAACAUACCCACAACCAACACUUUCCGUGCCCCAAUUUGGUGUAAAGUAUGCCCAGUAGAUUACAGCUUUUCUAAGAGGUGAGCAUCCUUUCGUGAGCUGGGCAGAUGAUCUCGGUGGGGUGAGGAGAUUUGAUGGAACAGACCAUAAAUUGGCCCCUGGCGCACCUUUUUCCAUCUCACCUCUGCAGCUUGGGAUUCCGGAGCUGCAAACAACCACUGUUCCAUAAGCCUGUGGUCUUUUUGACGUUUCCAGGCAGGCAUCAACAUUGACAUUGUAAUUCAAUAGAAGCUGUGACUACAAAGGUGCUUUAUCCUUCCAGGUUAAUAUGGUUGCUACGGAAACAAUUCAGGAUGAAGCUGACUUUUUUUGUGGUUCUGCUUCACUUGGUUGGAAACAACUCCCAACUAGCAAAGGUGCAAUUCAUUUAUAAUCACUGCUCCCAAAGUGUGUUUGUGAAAAUUUUUUAUAGGGAUCUAGCCCAUACUUAUGAAUUGUGGAACUGAAGGGGGAUGUGAAAAGCUUACCAUAUUUUAUUCCAUGUUACAUUGUGAGAGUUCAUACAACUUUUAAUCUUUAUGGAUCAGAUGUUUUCUAAAAUUUGCAUUGUGAAACAA